rnacentral:ncRNA from 1 species
CAACGGCUACCCACGGGAGCCGAUUGGAAGCUGAUGGCCAUACAGUAACCACAUACCGCGCGGAUUCGAAGGCGAACCGGGACGGAAGG